AAAGGUCAACCUGCACCUGCUGGUCCUCCUGGUUUUCCAGGAACCAAAGGAAUUCAAGGACCAAAGGGGGGGAAAGGUCAACCCGGCAGGAAAGGAACCAAAGGAACUGCUGGGAAUAACGGAACUGAAGGCCACACAGGAAG